rnacentral:lncRNA from 1 species
GGAGCUAACCCUUUUCACUUAGCUAAAAAAUGAUUGUUAGAUUCAAUUAUGUUUAGAGGGAGAAACAUUAUCUUGUAGCCAAAAUGGUUAAAUUUAUGGUGUAAAAAUCCUAUUCUUACUACAAUUGCUUCUCUUUGAGUUAAUUGUAAACUGUGGUUUAUUUUCAUUAUAGAAUGGGAGGAAAGAAUAAUGAAAUCGUCAUAGCUGUUGAUCUAAGGGUCACUUCGUUGACUGCCCAUGGAAAUGUCGAUGCCCAAAUUGCAAGCAUGGAUUCGAGAAGUGUUUUGUAGUGAAGAAGUAGACGAUCAAUAAAGGGCGUUUAUUUCUUUGUUGCAGCAAGAAAUGUGGAUUUUGGGAAUGGGUUGUGAAAAAUCAAUCAAGUAGUCAAUCCUCUUGCGAUAACUCUUCUUCAGUUUACCAUGUAACGAAAUGACACUGUUGAAGAAAUGUCACACGCAUUCCAAUCUUGAGUUCGCCUCAUCGAUGAAGAAGACCUACAGAUUUUGGUGAACGUGACAAUAUGCAAGGCAAAUGGUAGUGUGGAAGUGAAUGCAAAAGGGAAGGGAUCGAUCUAAUUAUUAGAUAAACCUUAGCUCUCGAGUUGUGACAUAAAUUUUGGCAACGUAGCAUUAUUAUGAGUGACUCUAUGUAAACUAAUUGAAUGACGGGUUUGUGGACCAUUUUGCAGGCCACAUUUGUAAUGCCAUGUCUCGUUUGCAAAUUUCUUACUCGUUCAUGUGAAUGUUUAUAUUAGUUUAUUAGUUGUGCAGUUACUUCGGCA